UACGUAGGGUGCGAGCGUUAAUCGGAUUUACUGGGCGUAAAGCGUGCGCAGGCGGCCCGUUAAGACAGGUGUGAAAUCCCUGGGCUCAACCUAGGAAUUGCGCUUGUGACUGGCGGGCUCGAGUACGGUAGAGGGGGGUGGAAUUCCCGGUGUAGCAGUGAAAUGCGUAGAGAUCAGGAGGAACACCGAUGGCGAAGGCAGCCCCCUGGGCCUGUACUGACGCUCAUGCACGAAAGCGUGGGGAGCAAACAGG
rnacentral:rRNA from 1 species